rnacentral:rRNA from 1 species
GUGGGGAAUCUUAGACAAUGGGGGCAACCCUGAUCUAGCCAUGCCGCGUGAGUGAUGAAGGCCUUAGGGUUGUAAAGCUCUUUCAGCUGGGAAGAUAAUGACGGUACCAGCAGAAGAAGCCCCGGCUAACUCCGUGCCAGCAGCCGCGGUAAUACGGAGGGGGCUAGCGUUGUUCGGAAUUACUGGGCGUAAAGGGUGCGUAGGCGGACUGAAAAGUUGGGGGUGAAAUCCCGGGGCUCAACCCCGGAACUGCCCUCAAAACUGUCAGUCUGGAGUUCGGGAGAGGUGAGUGGAAUUCCUAGUGUAGAGGUGAAAUUCGUAGAUAUUAGGAGGAACACCAGUGGCGAAGGCGGCUCACUGGCCCGAUACUGACGCUGAGGCACGAAAGCGUGGGGAGCAAAUGGAAUUAGAAACCCUAGUAGUCC